CUUGGGCAAUGGGCGCAAGCCUGACCCAGCGACGCCGCGUGGGGGAAGAAGGCCUUCGGGUCGUAAACCCCUGUUCUGGGGGAAGAACCCUGACUGGGUUAAGAGCCUAGUCAGGCUGACGGUACCCCAGGAGAAAGCCACGGCUAACUGCGUGCCAGCAGCCGCGGUAAUA
rnacentral:rRNA from 1 species